UACGUAGGGGGCGAGCGUUGUCCGGAUUUAUUGGGCGUAAAGAGCGUGUAGGCGGCCAGGUAGGUCUGCUGUGAAAACUCGAGGCUCAACCUCGAGACGUCGGCGGAAACCAUCUGGCUAGAGUCCGGAAGAGGAGAGUGGAAUUCCUGGUGUAGCGGUGAAAUGCGCAGAUAUCGGGAGGAACACCGGUGGCGAAGGCGGUUCUCUGGGACGGUACUGACGCUGAGACGCGAAAGCGUGGGGAGCGAACAGG
rnacentral:rRNA from 1 species